rnacentral:lncRNA from 1 species
CAUUAAUGGCUCUGGUCUAGCAUGGGCCCUGCCACUUUCUGGCUGUGGGGCCCAGGCUGCUGAUGUCACCUUUCUGAGUCCCGGUUUUCUUAUCUGUGAGGUGGGGUCACGAGUGGGACCCCCACCGUGGGAUGUGGAUACACAGCACUGGGAACAGCCGCACAGUGAGUGGUCAUCGGUGCUGCUCAUGAGGACUACAAAGGACCCAUUUCACAGAGAGACAGGGUCUCCCUAUGCAGGCCAGGCUGGCCUCGGAAUCUCUGUGGGGCUCAGCAUGCCCAGCCUGAGUCAUUCUGAAGAGAAGACUUGAGCACUGAGGAGUAUGGCCUCUGGGGCUCCUGCACAGGAGUCUCAGUACACCCCUGAAAUCUCAGCAUGGGGGAGGCAGGAGGAUCCACAUUCCAGCCCAGAAUGACUCAGCAAGACUCUGCCUCAGAAUAAAAAAAGACUAGGGAUGUAGCUCAGUCAGAGGUCCUCGGUUCAAUCCCUGGCACCACAAAACAAAAGCCAAGCUGAGUAACUGCUCAGCUUGUCACUCACCUAACAGACAUUUAAUGAUCACCUGCUAUGUGCCAGCCCCAGCCUGGGUGCUGGGGAGAACCGGGGCAAGAUGGAUGAAAAGAAUCCCUGCCAGGUGGAGGCAAAAGGGCCCUGGCAUUCAUGGAAUCAACAAGGAAAAGGUGAAAUCUAUUCUG